rnacentral:misc_RNA from 1 species
GCUCAAUCGCUCUGCGGCUUCCCAUUUUGGUAACAGCAAUCGUGUGCACAUUUUCAGUCAAAGUUGCAGAUCCAGUUCCUGUGCCCCAUAGACCAGCCAAGAGGCUACAAAGUCCUUCAAGACCAAUUCCUCGACUUAAAACACCAGGUGUUGGCGGUCUGGACGCAACCAACAAUGAUGAUGCAUGAUACGAUCCAAUCGAAUCCACAGAUGAAAUUAUGGAU